rnacentral:rRNA from 1 species
AUUGAACGCUGGCGGCAGGCUUAACACAUGCAAGUCGAGCGGAGAUGAGGUGCUUGCACCUUAUCUUAGCGGCGGACGGGUGAGUAAUGCUUAGGAAUCUGCCUAUUAGUGGGGGACAACAUUCCGAAAGGAAUGCUAAUACCGCAUACGCCCUACGGGGGAAAGCAGGGGAUCUUCGGACCUUGCGCUAAUAGAUGAGCCUAAGUCGGAUUAGCUAGUUGGUGGGGUAAAGGCCUACCAAGGCGACGAUCUGUAGCGGGUCUGAGAGGAUGAUCCGCCACACUGGGACCGAGACACGGCCCAGACUCCUACGGGAGGCAGCAGUGGGGAAUCUUGCACAAUGGGCGAAAGCCUGAUGCAGCAACGCCGCGUGAGUGAAGAAGGUCGUUGGAUUGUAAAGCUCUUUCGGCUGGGAAGAGGGGUUCUUCAAUUAAGACGUGAAGAAUCUGACGGUACCAGCAUAAGAAGCACUGGCUAAUUCCGUGCCAGCCGCCGCAGUAAAAC